rnacentral:rRNA from 1 species
ACGGAACCUUCGGGUUUAGUGGCGAACGGGUGAGUAAAGCGCAGGUAAUCUGCCGCAAAGUCGGGGACAACGUUCCGAAAGGGACGCUAAUACCGGAUGUUGUGUAAAGUUCGCAUGGAUUUUACACUAAAGAUUUAUCGCUUUGCGAGGAGCCUGCGUCCGAUUAGCUAGUUGGUGUAGUAAAGGUGCACCAAGGCGACGAUCGGUAGCCGGUCUGAGAGGAUGAACGGCCACAAUGGAACUGAGACACGGUCCAUACUCCUACGGGAGGCAGCAGUGGGGAAUAUUCCACAAUGGGCGAAAGCCUGAUGGAGCGACGCCGCGUGAGUGAAGAAGGGCUUCGGCUCGUAAAGCUCUUUUCUAGAGGACGAAUGGCGCAUUAGAUGCGCAGGGACGGUACUCUGGGAAUAAGCCACGGCUAACUACGUGCCAGCAGCCGCGGUAAUACGUAGGUGGCAAGCGUUGUCCGGAAUUAUUGGGCGUAAAGGGAGCGCAGGCGGGACGGUAAGUCCAAAUUAAAAGUGCAGGAGUAAUGCCUGUGAUGGUUUGGAAACUAUCGUUCUUGA